UACGUAGGGUGCAAGCGUUAAUCGGAAUUACUGGGCGUAAAGCGUGCGCAGGCGGUUUUGUAAGUUUGUCGUGAAAGCCCCGGGCUCAACCUGGGGACUGCGCUUGAUACGGCAGAGCUUGAGGAUGGAAGAGGGUCGCGGAAUUCCCAGUGUAGAGGUGAAAUGCGUAGAGAUGUGGAGGAACACCAGUGGCGAAGGCG
rnacentral:rRNA from 1 species